GAGGGUAUAGCUCAAGUGGCAGAGCACAUGCCUAGUGUGCACGAGGCCCUGGGUUCAAUCCCCAGCAUCUCCA
rnacentral:tRNA from 1 species